CUAAACACAGCACUCGGGGGAAUGACUGGCAUAUAGCACAUCCUCUGUGUCUUUGACACUUGCUAAGGAGUGACAAAACGCCACAUGUGUCAAAGAAACUGGAGAUGGGUGCUUUCGUAAGUAAGAGCGAUUCUGUCCCUGUGAAAAGCGUGGAGCACUUUGCCGGUGACCUUCCAGAUGAGUGCGGCUGAAAUUGGAUGAUUGCGUGCUGUGUUACCGGACAAGUGACAGGUGGCUGUAUCUCCAGGCUUGAAGGCAGGCAAUCUCACAUACCCAGUCCAUGUGUGCUGCACCCAGUUCCCAGGUGAGCUGUCAUCUAGUCUGGUUGAGUCCAGGAGAACAGGACCGCAUGACGUUCACUUCACCCGAGAGAACAACAUCUCCGAAGCUCCUUCUUUCCAUG